rnacentral:rRNA from 1 species
AUGCAAGGUUUUACGAAUUCGUAAGCUUCUGAUGAUAGGGAAGAACAACAUGCCGUUCAAUUAGAGUCGCACCUUGACGGUACCUAACCAGGAAAGCCACGGCUAACUACAGUCCAGCAGCCGCGUAAUAUGUAGGUGCCAGCGUAUUCCGGACUAUUGGCGUAAUGGGCUGGCAGGCGGUUUCUUAAGUCAGAUGUGAAAGCCCCGGCUCAUCCGGGGAGGGGUCAUUGGAAACUGGGGAACUUGAGUGCAGAAGAGGAGAGUGGAAUUCCACGUGUAGCGGUGAAAUGCGUAGAGAUGUGGAGGAACACCAGUGGCGAAGGCGACUCUCUGGUCUGUAACUGUCGCUGAGGAGUGAAAGCGUGGGGAGCGAACAGGAUUAGAUACCUUGGUAGUCCACGCCGUAAACGAUGAGUGCUAAAGUGUUAGGGGGUUUCCGCCCUUUAGUGCUGCAGCUAACGCAUUAAGCACUCCGCCUGGGGAGUACGGUCGCAAGACUGCAACUCAAAGGAAUUGACGGGGGCCCGCACAAGCGGUGGAGCAUGUGGUUUAAUUUGAAGCAACGCGAAGAACCUUACCAGGUCUUGACAUCCUUUGACAAUCCUAGAGAUAGGACGUCCCCUUCGGGGGCAGAGUGACAGGUGGUGCAUGGUUGUCGUCAGCUCGUGUCGUGAGAUGUUGGGUUAAGUCCCGCAACGAGCGCAACCCUUGAUCUUAGUUGCCAGCAUUCAGUUGGGCACUCUAAGGUGACUGCCGGUGACAAACCGGAGGAAGGUGGGGAUGACGUCAAAUCAUCAUGCCCCUUAUGACCUGGGCUACACACGUGCUACAAUGGACAGAACAAAGGGCAGCGAAACCGCGAGGUUAAGCCAAUCCCACAAAUCUGUUAUCAGUUCGGAUCGCAGUCUGCAACUCGAUUGCGUGAAGCUGGAAUCGCUAGUAAUCGCGGAUCAGCAUACCGCGGUGAAUACGUUCCCGGGCCUUGUACACACCCCCUUCACACCACGAGAGUUUGUAACACCCGAAGUCGGUGAGGUAACCUUUUGAGCCAGCCGCCGAAUCGCCCCCCCCGGGUA